rnacentral:rRNA from 1 species
UAAUACGGAGGGUGCAAGCGUUAUCCGGAUUCACUGGGUUUAAAGGGUGCGUAGGUGGGCUAGUAAGUCAGUGGUGAAAUCUCCGGGCUUAACCCGGAAACUGCCAUUGAUACUAUUAGUCUUGAAUGUCGUGGAGGUAAGCGGAAUAUGUCAUGUAGCGGUGAAAUGCUUAGAUAUGACAUAGAACACCGAUAGCGUAGGCAGCUUGCUACACGAAUAUUGACACUGAGGCACGAAAGCGUGGGGAUCAAACAGGAUUAGAUACCCUGGUAGUCCACGCCCUAAACGAUGGAUACUCGACAUCAGCGAUACACUGUUGGUGUCUGAGCGAAAGCAUUAAGUAUCCCACCUGGGAAGUACGACCGCAAGGUUG